GUUGCGCAGGGUGGAUCCUCGGGGAUCCUUGUUCCUGUCCAGCUGAAAGGAGGCGGGUGGUUUGUAACGCCCCGCAGCUCCCUGCCUUGAGCCGGGCAGGGCCGAAGCAGGCACAGAAGCCCCCUUUUUUUUGUGCAGCCCGGCGGCGGCGGCUGCAGCGGUGUUGUUUUUUCCAGGAAUGUGCUGAAUCGCGCUGCGUCCGGCCAGCCAGCCGGCGGGCGGGCACACGCACGCACACGCGCACACUGGCCCCAUUCAGGCCUGCAGCCGGGAAAGGGAGUAGCCGCACCGCGGGCUGGCUGGCGGGCUGGCUGGCAGGCAGGAUCCCCGUCUGUGGAAGUGGUGGCACUGCCCCAGGGGCCUCGAGGCAGCAGAGCAGAGAGACAGAAGGCGAGAAAGGAACUCUGGAUGGAUAGAAGGAUAGAUAGCAGGAGGCAAACCAUUCGUUUAGCACUUUGGUGGAGAUUUAGCACUUUAGAGAGAGCGUUCACGCAUACACGGCCUCUAUAACUCUUAUAAUAGCCCGGUAAGACUCUGCAAUUGCAUCUAGGACUGUUCACACAAGCAUGUGGUUUCCAGGGCACUUUGGAGUAAUCUGUGUUUCUUUGCAAGCCUUCACACGAAGGAUGGAAAAGGAAAAGGACAGUGACUACAAAGGGAGAUAAGGUACAGGAUCCACCCCACACCUGCUCUGUGCAGAGCAGGAGGAAGGCCUGUCCCCCCCCCCCCAACCACCAGCAGACUUUUCUUGGGGUUGCUACUCCAGCCAUGCUCCCUUACACUUGCAUGACAGACAGUUGCACAACAGGUGAAGGUGCGUCCUUCUAGCAUGGAGGUGGUGCCAUUAAGGCACAGGAGCCCUGCUGGGGUGACUAGUGGGCAGCCCUACACAUCUGCCUUUACCUUUCAGGACCUGUUCCAUCCAGGAUGCUCUUCAACAAAAGCCUUUGACGUUG